GUCUACAGCCACACCACCCUGAACGUGCCCGAUCUCGUCUGAUCUCAGAAGCUAAGCAGGGUCGGGCCUGGUUAGUACUUGGAUGGGAAAAUGGCCAUACUUACAAAACUGCUAUAUAGAUU
rnacentral:rRNA from 1 species